rnacentral:rRNA from 1 species
GACGAACGCUGGCGGCGUGCUUAACACAUGCAAGUCGAACGGUGAUGCUCCAGCUUGCUGGAGUGGAUCAGUGGCGAACGGGUGAGUAACACGUGAGCAACCUGCCCCAGACUCUGGAAUAAGCGCUGGAAACGGCGUCUAAUACUGGAUACGAAACUGGCCCGCAUGGGCAUGGUUUGGAAAGUUUUUCGGUUUGGGAUGGGCUCGCGGCCUAUCAGCUUGUUGGUGAGGUAAUGGCUCACCAAGGCGACGACGGGUAGCCAGCCUGAGAGGGCGACCGGCCACACUGGGACUGAGACACGGCCCAGACUCCUACGGGAGGCAGCAGUGGGGAAUAUUGCACAAUGGGCGAAAGCCUGAUGCAGCGACGCCGCGUGAGGGAUGACGGCCUUCGGGUUGUAAACCUCUUUCAGCAGGGAAGAAGCGAAAGUGACGGUACCUGCAGAAGAAGCACCGGCUAACUACGUG